AAGAGAAAGACCGGUUGACCCAUUCUACGUCCCGGCAUGUUGGAAUGUAGAGGACUAUUGGUGACAACACCAUCCUUGAUGUGAUUUGUUUGUGCUGUGUUGCAUUUCAUGAAAGCAUGAAAUAUAAAUUGAAUAUGUUUAAUUAUUCUGCUCACUGGGCUUUAUAGCUCACCCCUCUCCCUUAACCCCCAGGUUUGCAGGUACAGGGUAGACCAGGAGGUCAGUAGGAGUAGAGUCAUGUGU
rnacentral:lncRNA from 1 species